AUUGAACGCUGGCGGCGUGCCUAACACAUGCAAGUCGAGCGGCAGCGCGGGAGCAAUCCUGGCGGCGAGCGGCGGACGGGUGAGUAACGCUUGGGAAUCUGCCUGUUAGUGGGGGACAACCCGGGGAAACUCGGGCUAAUACCGCAUACGCACUACGGUGGAAAGCCGGGGACCGCAAGGCCUGGCGCUAACAGAUGAGCCCAAGUCGGAUUAGCUAGUUGGUAGGGUAACGGCCACCAAGGCGACGAUCCGUAACUGGUCUGAGAGGACGACCAGUCACACCGGAACUGAGACACGGUCCGGACUCCUACGGGAGGCAGCAGUGGGGAAUAUUGGACAAUGGGGGAAACCCUGAUCCAGCGACGCCGCGUGGGUGAAGAAGGCCUGCGGGUUGUAAAGCCCUUUCAGUGGGGAAGAAAAGCCUCGACCUAACACGUCGGGGUCUUGACGUAACCCCAUAGAAGAAGCACCGGCUAACUCUGUGCCAGCCGCCG
rnacentral:rRNA from 1 species